rnacentral:rRNA from 1 species
UACAGAGGUCUCAAGCGUUGUUCGGAUUCAUUGGGCGUAAAGGGUGUGUAGGUGGCGCGCUAAGUCGGGUGUGAAAUUUCGGAGCUUAACUCCGAAACUGCAUUCGAUACUGCGGUGCUUGAGGACUGGAGAGGAGACUGGAAUUCAUGGUGUAGCAGUGAAAUGCGUAGAGAUCAUGAGGAAGACCAGUGGCGAAGGCGGUUCUCUGGGCCUACCUGACGCUGAGGAGCGAAAGCGUGGGGAGCAAACAGG